UGUUAUCAAAUGUUUUUUUAGUUCCUAUGGCAACCGAAUCACAAGAGCCAGGAUUUGUUAUUGUUCCGGGAGAAAAGGGAAGGGCCACACUGCAGGACUGACGUCCAUCCGUCAGCCGGGCGGCUGAGUCACCCCGCCACGGUCUGGUGCACCCACGGAGUCACUUCCCUGUGGUCUGAGGCUCUCACCGGCCUCCAGUCUUUGGCAAGAGGUCGUGCGUCUGUCCGUGAGCGCACAACAGGCCACCCGUGCCGCAGGCAGGUAGCCGGGCGGGGGUGGGGGUCACUGCUGGGGCACAGUCCUGCCUGCAGGGACUGAGAGCCUCUGGGGAGGCGCAGUCGCUGUCCUCUCGGAGCACACGUAUGUAUUCCCAGGCAGUUUCUAGGGCCACCUGCCGAUUGGCUUACUCUGUGACCUCAGCCAAGCCACUGGGCCUCUCUGAGCGCCAGCCUCUUUAUGCACAAAACAGGGAAAAUAGUACUAUCUCAUCAGACUGUUAUGGGAAAGAAAUGAAAUAACGCCAAUGGUGCUCUGAGCACCAUAGAUAUCCCGAGUGGCAUUGCUGAUGGCCACACGUCUCUGCACUACCUGGAAGGUGAAACAGAGGGAGCUCCUGCUACUCCCCAAACACAGGGGCCACCCACCUGCGGGGCAGCCAUGGGAGGCCGUGACCAACACAGCCAGCCCCACCCACCAGCACCAGAACCUGAACUAAGAAGCAUCAACUGCUCAGACAUAGAAGAGAACAGAGCCGGAGACCCAACGGGUCACCUGGACCGGUGACAUUCUAAAGCAAUACCCUGGAGGCAAGUGUCUGACAUAAAGUCACUGCCAGGAAGAAGCCGGACGUUUCUGAACGCCCCAGGUCACGGUCAGCGGCGGAGGAAAAGGCUUUGGGAGGCGACGCUAAUGCCGGACGAGGACGCUCUACCCUUUGCGGAGCCGGGCUCCUCCGGGGUUACUCACCUGUACCUACGGCCGAGUUGUUUGCUCAGGAGGUAACGAGGUGGAGCGCAUUUAACCUUUGGACAUUCCUCCUCCUCCAGAACCUCUCUGGCACGCUCCUGUCACGGUCAGGGCUGGGACGGGGCCGUAGCACGUGGCCGAAGGUGGCUCCUGGGCUGUGCCCCCUCUGUGCCCUCUCCCCCUGCCCCGAGGAAAUGGCUCGCCAGUGCCAUAUCUUUUAAGUCAACCAAAACUGAAAGCCGUGGAUUUACUACUUAACCUUAACCAGGACAUCACUAAACUCCACAGUGAAGGAAAAGAAAAGAGAAAGUCCAAGAGGACCAGUCUCCUCCAGGCCUUGACCAAUGACCUGAGCCCAGAGUGUGGGUGUCAAUGCCCGGACAGCAUGGCUGGCUGCUUCGCUUCACGCCGUGCUCCUCUGCCAAAAUCCAAGGGGUGUCAGCUCCCCUCUGCACCUUGCACCUCCGGCCCUGCGUGAUCGGUGACCUGUCGUAAAUUGAGAGAGACCCGGUGGAGAGCAGCGGCUCUUCCUUACUCCUCUCAUUUUAUGCCCGUUGUCUGCAACAGUGCCUGGCGGUCAUGGGGCUUUGGGAAAUACGAACAGAUUAAAAGAAUUAAUUACACAUUCAUUACAGCUAAGUUUUCCAAUGCUGAGGGGGAAAAAAUGAA